rnacentral:rRNA from 1 species
AUUGAACGCUGGCGGCAGGCUUAACACAUGCAAGUCGAGCGGAGAUGAGGUGCUUGCACCUUAUCUUAGCGGCGGACGGGUGAGUAAUGCUUAGGUAUCUGCCUAUUAGUGGGGGACAACAUUCCGAAAGGAAUGCUAAUACCGCAUACGUCCUACGGGAGAAAGCAGGGGAUCUUCGGACCUUGCGCUAAUAGAUGAGCCUAAGUCGGAUUAGCUAGUUGGUGGGGUAAAGGCCUACCAAGGCGACGAUCUGUAGCGGGUCUGAGAGGAUGAUCCGCCACACUGGGACUGAGACACGGCCCAGACUCCUACGGGAGGCAGCAGUGGGGAAUAUUGGACAAUGGGCGGAAGCCUGAUCCAGCCAUGCCGCGUGUGUGAAGAAGGCCUUUUGGUUGUAAAGCACUUUAAGCGAGGAGGAGGCUACCUAGAUUAAUAACCUUGAGCAGUGACGUUACUCGCAGAAUAAGCACCGGCUAACUCUGUGCCAGCAGCCGCAGUAACAC